ACCCCUUAGAAAUAUGAAGCAUUGGAUACAUUUCCUUAUAAAAGAAUCAAAUCUUUAAAUCAAACUAAUUUUUUUAAUAGAUGACGUAUCUUUAGAGUAUCAAGAGCAUGUGAAGAUUAAGGGUAUCAAGAGGAAGCUGGCUUGCAUUCCUUGAGGUUUUGUUUUGUUUCAUAAGAUCCCACUGGAUGGGUAGCUGAAAUAAAGGAAAAGACAGAGAAAGGGCUGUGGUGCUUGUUGGUUGAUGCUGCCUUGUAAGCUGGACUCUUGGGACGGGCAUUGGCUUUUCCCGGGAAGUGCUGCUUAUCUGGGGUUUUCUGGUAGAUGUGGGGGGUGUUUGCAGGAGGUACUGCAUGGAGCCUGCAGAUGACCUGAGCUGUGAUUGAGGAACACCAGUGAUGAGGCAGCUCACAGGCAGCUAAGCAGAAACUCAAGAAAACAAAUUAAUGCUUGCCUUUUGUUCUUACAAUCAUUCAAAUGCAGAAUUUAAAUUCCAUUGAAUUGUGCUUCUCUUCUGAAAGAUGUGCUGUUAGACCAUACUGGAAAUGUAUUUCAUUUUUAUUGUUUCUGUUUAUUAAAGAUGAACUACAAAGUUAAAAAAACAGUCUAAAUUUAGGGACAGGUAUAAGUGCACACUAAAUUGUAACCUCCAUUUAACAUGUAUUUUAGCAUCGUCUUCUGUUGUUUAAUCACUGCUGAAUUUAGAAAAUUUUAUUUUUCCACCUACAGCACAGCAGCUAAAAGAGCAUAUAUACCAUCGCUGUGGGGACAUAGCGAUGUCACUGACAAAAGGUCUAGAGUCCUGCAGUCAAUGCUAAUGAUUUCCUUCAAGUUUCCUUAAUGGUUUUCUUAAAGGCAAAAAGAAAAGAAAAAAAAGCUAUUUGAUCAGGGGCUACAGAUUUAGUUUAGUCAUAGUCAGUUUCGGAAUAACUAAAAGAGUGAAAUAUAUGCAUAGGGUGCAUAUGUCCUUUUAUGUGCCCUCUGCGAUCUACCGGUGUUUUAGAAGUUUGCCGAGUGAUAAGGCCACAACAGCUCAUGCUGUUCCCGUGACAGACCAGCAGCGUUUCUACUCUGAAAAGGCCUGUAUGCAGAAAGGCUGGCCUGCUGUGAGAAGACAAUAUUGUAAGUAGGAUAGUCCACCUACAACAUACCACGCUACUGCUGGGUUUUCACGAGCAGGGCAGCUCUUCCUGACACCAGCAGCUCAGAGGUGGCAGGUCACUAAUGAAUAUGUGCUUUGUAUUGUCCAGCUUCAUUGCUGAGAGGGCAGCCUUACAGCUACAGAACCCCACGACCUUGCCUUAGUCUUACCAUGGACCCCUGUUUCCCUCAGGUGGCUAUCGCAGUGACCUUUGUACACUUUGCUCAGUACGUGCCCAGCGGGAACCCUGUCCCAAAGACAGGUUUGUCUGCUCCCACUCCUCCGCACCUCACACCUUUCUUGUUAGGUGGACUUCAGAGCCACAUUCAGCUCUGACGGUUGAGGCAUGCAUGUAGAUGCCACGGCUGAAUUGGAAACUUACUGACUUUUUUUUAAAAAAUUUCUUUUUGGUAAUAGUUACUCAAAUUUUGCAGUUCAGCUUUAAUGAGUCAUAGAUUUUUACCUAGUCUAACAUGCUUGGAAAUGUUAUUUUGAAUCCUGUGUAACCAAGGCAUUCAUCUUAAUAAACCAGCUCCAUUGAGGCACCACUUGAUAUAAAAAGAUUAUUCAUGAUGAAUAUUUUAUACUCUUUUACAUUAGCCACUAAAUAUGGAAUUGCUAGAUGCCAACAUUUCACAGAGUUCUAUGGAUUACAGCAUUUAAUUUGGCUACUCCAGACAGAGGCCUGAAAAGGGCAGUUUAUCCAAAGCAUAAACAGGCUCCUCGUUUUCAAAAGUUUGCUUUCCAGAAAGACAUUUGAGUGGGAGGGCAGCUGGCCCUUGUUGUGGAGAGGUCUCAAUCUUCUCUGAAUUCCCAUUUUCUUGCUCGCUACUAAAUGACAGUUCCUGUCACUAUUUAGAUUUUGAUCUUUCCCAAAGGUGUUGAUUACCCACAAGGCCAGCUAAUUGGAGAAAUCCUGAAUCCUGAAA